GUGGUUUGUCGCGUUGUUCGUGAAAACUCACAGCUUAACUGUGGGCGUGCGGGCGAUACGGGCAGACUAGAGUACUGCAGGGGAGACUGGAAUUCCUGGUGUAGCGGUGGAAUGCGCAGAUAUCAGGAGGAACACCGGUGGCGAAGGCGGGUCUCUGGGCAGUAACUGACGCUGAGGAGCGAAAGCGUGGGGAGCGAACAGGAUUAGAUACCCUGGUAGUCCACGCCGUAAACGGUGGGUACUAGGUGUGGGUUCCUUCCUUGGGAUCCGUGCUGUAGCUAACGCAUUAAGUACCCCGACUGGGGAGUACGGCCGCGAGGCUAAAACUCAAAGGAAUUGACGGGGGCUCGCACAAGCGGCGGAGCAUGUGGAUUAAUUCGAUGCAACGCGAAGAACCUUACCUGGGUUUGACAUGCACAGGACGCCGGCAGAGAUGUCGGUUCCCUUGUGGCCUGUGUGCAGGUGGUGCAUGGCUGUCGUCAGCUCGUGUCGUGAGAUGUUGGGUUAAGUCCCGCAACGAGCGCAACCCUUGUCCUAUGUUGCCAGCGGGUUAUGCCGGGGACUCGUAGGAGACUGCCGGGGUCAACUCGGAGGAAGGUGGGGAUGACGUCAAGUCAUCGUGCCCCUUAUGUCCAGGGCUUCACACAUGCUACAAUGGCCGGUACAAAGGGCUGCGAUGCCGUGAGGUGGAGCGAAUCCUUUCAAAGCCGGUCUCAGUUCGGAUCGGGGUCUGCAACUCGACCCCGUGAAGUCGGAGUCGCUAGUAAUCGCAGAUCAG
rnacentral:rRNA from 1 species